rnacentral:lncRNA from 1 species
AUGAGCCUGAAAUUGUAUAGGUACUCAGGAGAUGAUGGUUUCUCUAACAAUGGAGUUGACCUUGAAGUUCUAGUUCCUCCAAGGUCCAAAGUGUUGAUGAUUCCUCUAAUGAUGGAAAUAUCUUACAUGUCAGUUGUGUUUUUUCAGGUCCUGGUAGUCAGUCAUGUUACAGUGACCCUGGUUAUGCUCUUUCAUGGGACCCUGCUAGUCACCUGGUUCUUGUCCAGAAAACCCAGUGAACCUCACCGUAUUCACUGAUGGAAGCUUGCUCUUAACCUGGUAUCCCAUUAAGGCCUUCGCUACUAUGCAGGUAUGAGAUGAUUUGACAUUGACUUAGACAUUAUUUUCAGAGCGCUGUGUGACUAACAAUAUUAUUCAGGCUCUUACAUAACUUAGUGUUAGACAUGUAGGCAGUUAAGACAUUCAGUUGUCGCUAACAAUCAUAGUAUGCGUGAGAAUUUCUUGUUUAGAGAGAAUGUGUUUUGGACUGAUAGGGAGACUUUCAGACAUCCAGGGAAUUCAUCAUACUGUUCAUUGUUAUGUUACUAACAGUGGGAAUUUUCCAGGUAUUCUUCAAGAGAAGGAGGUGGCUCCUACUGCAGGCUGACCUCAGAGUUUUGCAGGUAUUCAGGUAUGGUUGACGGUGCUGAAAUGAUACAAAUGACCAAGGGCAUUUGGAGAUCUAGAGGUAGAAUGAUUCAUGAACCAAAGACAUUUUUCACAAUGCCUUUUUCAGAUUCAUGUCAAGACCUCACCGUGAGCUUACCAAUGAUAACAUGGGACAUUGCUGUUACAAGGUAAGUGUUGUGGGCCUAAACCAUAGCACAGAUCAUCUGAUCUUCACAUACAGAGGUAAGAGGUGAUGAGUAUCUCUAAUGCUUCUUGUUAACACGCUUCUUACAAGGAUUCAAUUAAUGAAGGACAGAUUCCAACCAAUUCUGGGAACCAUUGUUUCUCAUACUUUAUAUUGAAGCGAAAAAUUAUGUUUACCUCUGUGAGUGUUGAGGGAUUGUGUGUAUCCAAACAAUUGUCGUGAUGUUCUGUCCCAAUAAGUAACCAUGGGAUUGUUAUAAGGGUCCCGUUAUUAAAUGAUGGUGUUCUGUGAAAGUGGUGUUGACCUUGAAUUAAUCCAAGGAUCCAGGUAGAUUUAGAGAGGUUCAGCUUAAAAAAAACAAAGCUCUAUCCCUUAAUACAUACUUCACAAAAUGUUUUUAGGUUCUUGUCAAGAUACCAUGAUGAACCAGAAGUCAUUAACAGGGGGGACAUCUCUGGUAUGCAGGUAAGUGAGGACAGGCACAUCACAGACCCUCUGAUCUUUGUCUAUCUGGGUGAAUGAUGCUGGAUUGUCAAAACCUGUUUCACCAUGUGAGUUCCUAGCACAUGUUCAGGUAAGCAUGCAAUAUAAUAUGUUGCCACUUGUAACAAUCAUGUUAUCCUGCUGUCCUGUUGCACAGAAAAUGAAUGUGUAACUAUGUGAGUAUGGAGUUAUGUGCAUUUAUGCAGGUAAUUGCCCUGGAAUUCUGCCUCACCAUUGUAACCAUGGUAUUUUAGAGAUGUGUAGUCAGGAGAUGAUGAGGCUAAAUGUGGCUAGCCCUUGAAUAUUGCAAACAUCCAGUGAAGUUGACGGAUCCGGCCAUGAUGGAAGUGAAGGAGGUUAUUUGUAGGUUAUUUGUCCAUUUGGAAUAUGUGUGUCCGUAGAUAAACAAUUUUGCCAAUGUGUUUUUCAGGUUCCACUCAUGAGAUCAUAGUGAACCUCCUCCUCUUCAUUACCAGAGACUUUGCAUGGAUCACAGGAAGUCAUGGUAUGAGCCAUAGGCAGCUUAAAGAUCAGGUGAUCUUCAGAUACUGAGGCAAAUGAGGAUGCUGUUCCUAACCUUUGUCUUACUAUUUUUGAUAGGUAUUCAGGUAAGAAACGAUCUCGUUCCUACUGAUGCUAGUAAGCAGUCGCCUUUGGUAGUUGAGAGUUUAGAUGUCAUGUAUGUUUAUACGUAGAAGGGACUGAGGGAUAAACAGGUGUCCACGUUAUCCCACUAUUCGAUACCAAACACUACGGACCAGGAGAUUUCUCCGGAAGAAACGAUGGUGUCUCUAACAGUGUCAACUUUGAAUUCUGCCAAGAUCGAGGUAGUGUGGAAGCUUCCCCAUUAACGGAGGUGACCAAGAUUAAUAGCAGGAGUCGUGGCAGCACACGUUGUUUUCUUUCUCUCUUUCUUUUUUUGGAAAAAGGUUGUGUUCUUAAACACAAUCAUUGCACGUGUUUUCUCAGGUCCCAGGCACGAACUCACAGCAAGUGUAGAAACGGUCAUUAUUGGGACAAUGUUUGUAAGCAAGUGAGCGAGACUGUAGGUCUUUCUAUGAUGUAGACUAUCUCAUCUCCAGCGUCUAGGUUAGGAUGUGUCCCCAGCACAUGCGUUCCGCUUUUGUAUGUAUCCCGUUAAGGUCUUUGCUAAGAGAGGUGUGAUGUGAUCAGACGGACACUCACUACCGACUUUUUGUUCUUUUCGGACACCUAGGUAAUUAAGGUUCCCAAGAGCGUUCCAAAAAUGUCGUCUGGGGGCCCAUAGACAGUUAAGCAUUUGAUGUGAACUGAGCAUUUCUGGUAAGCAUGAGUAUUCACUGUCUUCUUGUAGAGGUAAUGUAUUUUUAUACUCCUAAUGGUAACAGAUACGCCGGUAACCAUGGAAAUUUUGCAGAUGUCCCUUUAAGAAUGGAAGGAUCCCUUCCUUCAGGGUCCUUUUCAGGGUCGUCUUAAGACCUUGACCAUGCCCCUGUCAGCGGUAUUUAACGUGGCAUAAAGGAGGUAAGCGAUUUGGGCCUAAACCACAAGCACAGACCAUCUGAUCUUCCCACAUCUAGGUGAGUGAUGUUGAUGCCCUUCAUACUUCCUGUUACCCUGACCUUGUUGCAGGUAUUCGGGUAAGAAAUGACAGAGUCUGGGGCGCCUGGGUGGCUCAGUCAGGUCAGCGUCCCCUCUUGCUCUCAGCUCAGGUCAUGAUCUCACGAUUUAGGAGAUUGAACCCCACAUCAGGCUCUGUGCUGACAGUGCAGAGCCUGCCUUGGAUUCUCUCCUUCUCUUUGCCUCUUUCUAUCUGCGUCUCUCUCUCUCUCUCUCUCUCUCUCUCUCUCUCUCUCUCUCAAAAAAUAAAACUAAAAGCAACCAAGAAAAAACA